CUGGUUGAUCCUGCCAGAAGUCACUGCUAUCGGGGUUCGAUUAAGCCAUGCGAGUUGAGAGGGUUAAGACCCUCGGCGGACUGCUCAGUAACACGUGGAUAGCCUGCCCUAAGGUGGAGGAUAACCCCGGGUAACUGGGGAUAAUACUCCAUAGGUUAAAGGUACUGGAAUGUUCUUUAACCGAAAGUUCCGGCGCCUUAGGAUGGAUCUGCGGCCGAUUAGGUUGUUGUUGGGGUAGUGGCCCAACAAGCCUGUAAUCGGUACGGGUUGUGGGAGCAAGAGCCCGGAGAUGGAAUCUGAGACACGAUUCCAGGCCCUACGGGGCGCAGCAGGCGCGAAAACUUUACAAUGCAGGAAACUGUGAUAAGGGAACCCCGAGUGCCCGUAUAUGCGGGCUGUCCGGAUGUUUAAAACGCAUCCGAAGAAAGGGCCGGGCAAGACCGGUGCCAGCCGCCGCGGUAAUACCGGCGGCUCGAGUGAUGGCCACUUUUAUUGGGCUUAAAGCGUUCGUAGCUUGAAUAAUAAGUCUCUUGGGAAAUCUGCAGGCUUAACCUGCAGGCGUUUAAGAGAAACUGUUGUUCUAGGAACCGGAAGAGGUGAGAGGUACUCCGGGGGUAGGAGUGAAAUCCUGUAAUCCCCGGGGGACCACCGAUGGCGAAGGCAUCUCACCAGGACGGCUUCGACAGUGAGGAACGAAAGCUGGGGGAGCGAACCGGAUUAGAUACCCGGGUAGUCCCAGCCGUAAACGAUGUGCGUUAGGUGUGCCGGUGACCACGAGUCACUGGGGUGCCGAAGGGAAACCGUGAAACGUACCGCCUGGGAAGUACGGUCGCAAGGCUGAAACUUAAACGAAUUGGCGGGGGAGCACCAC
rnacentral:rRNA from 1 species